UGGAUGAUCAUGUUGGCAACC
rnacentral:miRNA from 1 species